rnacentral:lncRNA from 1 species
AGUGAUGCAGGAACAUCUACAACACUAGUACUAUGUUCCCCAGCAUUUAAAUUUCACAGAUGCAGGUCAGAAGUCUGUAUUUCUCUCUUCUUCCUAUCUGUAUGGGAGUCUGCUUCAAUCUAAAGAUUAUGUUGCUUAUCACCUCAUGCACUGAGGCAUACAGUCAGCCUCAGCUGCAGACUUGAGAAAACAUGAAAUACAUGAGUUUUAUAAGGAUAAUUAAUUUCGCUGUAAAACAAUCAACAAACCAAAUGCAGUGACAGGUAGUAAAGAGUGGCUAUAGAGUAGUAAUAGGGCUGUAGAAGAAAUAUUUUUUAACCCACCAAGCAUGAUAAAUCAAUAGGUGAUUUACAAUGAUCUUGAGUAGGAAAAGAAACUUGAGACAAGAUACAUGACGAUUAAUGCUUUCAUCUAAAAGACAUUUGCUCUGUUUUCAGUUGUGCAGCUGUCUUCUCAGUCAAUAGAUUGGUAUAGUCAAAGGAUACCUACUGCAGAGACAUGUCUUGAACUGGAAUGAUGACAAUUUGUAUCUUUUCAUCCAUCUGAACACAGAAGGAGAGUCAACAGCUAGUAUUGAGGAAUUACAGCUGCUGGUCUUCUCUUCUGAGUGCCACCUUCCAUUUCUGGAUCUCUGGUGUUUCCAUGUUUGUUGACACCGCGCAUGACUAAAAUGGCUCUGAAAAACCGGAACUGUGGAGAAGGCCCCAGGGGCAGCGGCAGACCCAAGUUGCCUAGCAACUGUGUGCAUUGCUCUGGGGGUGAUAAACGGGGAAGCUCCUCAAAAAUGCCCAGUGGGGUCACAAGGAUAUGUUUAAUGCAUGGUUGAAAUUGGAUUUCCCUUCAAAGAAAUAGCCCAUCUGGUGUGUGUGUGUGUGUGUGUGUGUGUGU